rnacentral:lncRNA from 1 species
GUUGGGGGUGGCAUUCUUUUGCAUAGCAUUGGGCGGGGAUGAGCGAGACUGGGAAGGACCUGAUUUGAUUUUUGCCAAAAGGACCUGAUUUGAUUUUUGCCAAAAUAAGAAAUUCUUUUAUUACAUCUUUCAUGAAUUGAGUUUCGCUUGUUUUUCUCACAAAAUCCCAUACCCAAGCAAGGCAUAAAGAUGUGGAUUCCCAGACAAAAUUAACAUUCUGUUUUCAAUUUGAU